AAUCUGGUUGAUCCUGCCAGAGGCGACCGCUUUUGGAGUUCGAUUAAGCCAUGCGAGUCGAGAGUCUUAGGGACUCGGCAUACUGCUCAGUAACACGUGGAUAACCUGCCCUAUCGUCUGGAAUAACCUCGGGAAACUGAGAAUAAGG
rnacentral:rRNA from 1 species